GACGAACGCUGGCGGCGUGCUUAACACAUGCAAGUCGAACGGAAAGGCCCUGCUUUUGUGGGGUGCUCGAGUGGCGAACGGGUGAGUAACACGUGAGUAACCUGCCCUUGACUUUGGGAUAACUUCAGGAAACUGGGGCUAAUACCGGAUAGGAGCUCCUGCUGCAUGGUGGGGGUUGGAAAGUUUCGGCGGUUGGGGAUGGACUCGCGGCUUAUCAGCUUGUUGGUGGGGUAGUGGCUUACCAAGGCUUUGACGGGUAGCCGGCCUGAGAGGGUGACCGGCCACAGUGUGACUGAGAUACGGCCCAGACUCCUACGGGAGGCAGCAGUGGGGAAUAUUGCACAAUGGGCGGAAGCCUGAUGCAGCAACGCCGCGUGCGGGAUGACGGCCUUCGGGUUGUAAACCGCUUUCGCCUGUGACGAAGCGUGAGUGACGGUAAUGGGUAAAGAAGCACCGGCUAACUACGUG
rnacentral:rRNA from 1 species